AGAGUUUGAUCCUGGCUCAGGACGAAGUGGCGGCGUGCCUAAUACAUGCAAGUCGAGCGCGGGAAUUUAAAGAUUCCUUCGGGAUGACAUCUGUGGAACGAGCGGCGGAUGGGUGAGUAACACGUGGGCAACCUGCCUGUAAGACUGGGAUAACUCCGGGAAACCGGGGCUAAUACCGGAUAAGACUUUAUCUCGCAUGACAUAGAGAUGAAAGAUGGCUUUUAGCUAUCACUUACAGAUGGGCCUGCGGCGCAUUAGCUAGUUGGUGGGGUAAUGGCCUACCAAAGCGACGAUGCGUAGCCGACCUGAGAGGGUGAUCGGCCACACUGGGACUGAGACACGGUCCAGACUCCUACGGGAGGCAUCAGUAGGGAAUCUUCCGCAAUGGACGCAAGUCUGACGGAGCAACGCCGCGUGAGUGAUGAAUGUCUUCGGAUUGUAAAACUCUGUUGUUAGGGAAGAACAAGUACCGUUCGAAUAGGUCGGUACCUUGACGGUACCUAACCAGAAAGCCCCGGCUAACUACGUGCCAGCAGCCGCGGUAAUACGUAGGGGGCAAGCGUUGUCCGGAAUUAUUGGGCGUAAAGGGCGCGCAGGCGGUCUUCUAAGUCUGAUGUGAAAGCCCACGGCUUAACCGUGGAAGGUCAUUGGAAACUGGGGGACUUGAGUGCAAACAGGAGAGUGGAAUUCCAUGUGUAGCGGUGAAUGCGUACAGAUAUGGAGGAACACCAGUGGCGACGCGACUCUCUGGUCUGCAACUGACGCUGAGGCGCGAAAGCGUGUGUAGCGCACAGGAUUACAUACCCUGAUAGUCCACGCCGUAAACGAUGGGUACUAGGUGUAGGAGGUAUCGACCCCUUCUGUGCCGGAGUUAACGCAAUAAGUACCCCGCCUGGGGAGUACGUCCGCAAGGAUGAAACUCAAAGGAAUUGACGGGGGCCCGCACAAGCGGUGGAGUAUGUGGUUUAAUUCGACGCAACGCGAAGAACCUUACCAAGGCUUGACAUUGAGUGACCGCCGUAGAGAUACGGCUUCUUCUUCGGAAGCACGAAAACAGGUGGUGCAUGGCUGUCGUCAGCUCGUGUCGUGAGAUGUUGGGUUAAGUCCCGCAACGAGCGCAACCCCUAUCCUAUGUUACCAGCGGGUAAUGCCGGGGACUCAUAGGAGACUGCCAAGGACAACUUGGAGGAAGGCGGGGAUGACGUCAAGUCAUCAUGCCCCUUAUGUCUUGGGCUACACACGUACUACAAUGGUCGACAACAGAGGGAAGCGAAGCCGCGAGGCAGAGCAAACCCCAGAAACUCGAUCUCAGUUCGGAUCGCAGGCUGCAACCCGCCUGCGUGAAGUCGGAAUCGCUAGUAAUCGCAGGUCAGCAUACUGCGGUGAAUACGUUCCCGGGCCUUGUACACACCGCCCGUCACACCACGAAAGUUGGUAACACCCGAAGCCGGUGGGGUAACCGUUAGGAGCCAGCCGUCUAAGGUGGGGCCGAUGAUUGGGGUGAAGUCGUAACAAGGUA
rnacentral:rRNA from 1 species